rnacentral:rRNA from 1 species
AAUAGAUACCCAGGUAGUCCACGCCGUAAACGGUGGGCACUAGGUGUGGGCGACAUUCCACGUCGUCCGUGCCGCAGCUAACGCAUUAAGUGCCCCGCCUGAGGAGUACGGCCGCAAGGCUAAAACUCAAAGAAAUUGACGGGGGCCCGCACAAGCGGCGGAGCAUGUGGCUUAAUUCGACGCAACGCGAAGAACCUUACCAAGGCUUGACAUACACCGGAAACGUCUGGAGACAGGCGCCCCCUUGUGGUCGGUGUACAGGUGGUGCAUGGCUGUCGUCAGCUCGUGUCGUGAGAUGUUGGGUUAAGUCCCGCAACGAGCGCAACCCUUGUCCCGUGUUGCCAGCAGGCCCUUGUGGUGCUGGGGACUCACGGGAGACCGCCGGGGUCAACUCGGAGGAAGGUGGGGACGACGUCAAGUCAUCAUGCCCCUUAUGUCUUGGGCUGCACACGUGCUACAAUGGCCGGUACAAUGAGCUGCGAUACCGCGAGGUGGAGCGAAUCUCAAAAAGCCGGUCUCAGUUCGGAUUGGGGU